AACGUAGGUGGCAAGCGUUAUCCGGAUUUACUGGGCGUAAAGCGUGUGCAGGCUGUUCACCAAGUGGUGUAUGAAAGCGCUCGGCUCAACCGGGCAAGGGUAUGCCAGACUGGUGGACUAGAGACUGACAGAGGGUGGUGGAAUUCCGGGUGUAGUGGUGAAAUGCGUAGAUAUGCGGAGGAACACCGAUGGCGAAGGCAAUCCCCUGGGCCUGCACUGACGCUCAUGCACGAAAGCGUGGGGAGUAAACAGG
rnacentral:rRNA from 1 species